rnacentral:lncRNA from 10 species
CUAUAUCCUGUCCUUGUCCAUUGACCCAGCUGAAUUUUACUUUUAAUGCAUUUUCCUUCCACCUCCUACCUUCUUUGGUUUGUGAAUGGAGAGGUAGCCGUGACUUCCUGUGGCUGAGCCACUUCCUGUGGCUGAGGGAAGCAGCAGGCUGUCUGGUUACCUGAGCCAGGUCUGGGGCCAGGCAGCAUGCAUUCUAGUCCUGCCUGGGACACUCACUGGCCUCAAGAUCUUGGGCAAAACAGCUGACUGCUUUGCACCUCAGUUUCCUCAUCUGUAAGGUCCAGGACUACCCACUUCCCUUGGAAUGGUGUUGCCAUCACUGUUCUGGCACCGGAGGUAAGGAUUCUACAUCGUUAGGAGAAAAGAAAAAGGAGAAUUUGGGCUUGCACUGAGAGGAUUACCUUUGGUGGUCUGGAAGUGGUGGGGUUGCAGCAUUGAAGGCACCAUCUUGGAAGCAGAGACUAGACCCUCACCAAGCAAUUAACAUGCUGGUGCAUUGAUCUUGGACUUUCCAGCCUCCAGAACUGGAAGUCCCUGCAUGGACACUGCCAGCUUCAUUGCACUUCUGCCUCUAUGCUUUUUCCUGAACCUUCUCCACCUCUGGAACGUACUUCAGGCUGCACAGGGAGCAUGGCUGGGAGGCCUCAGGAAACUGACAAUCAUCAGUAGAAGAUGAAGAGGAAGGAGGCGCAUCUUACAUGGCCAGAGAAGGAGGAAGAAUAAGAAGGGAUUCUCCAGCUGGAGCCCUAUAAAUUGGACUGACAAAAGACAGAUUAGCAAGAGAAAUGCAAGCAGCAGUUUAUUAACAUGUGCAUCAUGAUUACACAUGGAAGUACCCAGAGGUCAUAAGACCUCAUGUGACAAGUGCCCUCCUUACUCCCAGAGAAAAGGAAGGAAGACACAGAAACACCACGAAGAAUAUGGACAAACAGACCUUGCUAAGUUCCCCCCCAUUUAUUACCAUGACAUCAUACUCCCUUUGUCCAAUCACACUUUCAUCAAACCUGAGCAUGAAAAUACACAGGUUUCUCUGUUUGGGGGGUGGGUCUUCAUUUUUGAAGUUUCCAUGUCAUGUAAAACUUAUAUUAAAGAAAUGUGUAUGUUUUACCCUUGUUAAUUU